UACGGGGGGGGUAAGCGUUGUUCGGAAUUACUGGGCGUAAAGCGUGCGCAGGCGGUUCGUUGUGUCGGUGGUGAAAUCCCCGGGCUUAACCUGGGAAUGGCCAUGGAAACUGGCGAACUGGAGUGUGGCAGAGGGGGGUGGAAUUCCGCGUGUAGCAGUGAAAUGCGUAGAGAUGCGGAGGAACACCGAUGGCGAAGGCAGCCCCCUGGGCUAGCACUGACGCUCAGGCACGAAAGCGUGGGGAGCAAACAGG
rnacentral:rRNA from 1 species